rnacentral:rRNA from 1 species
CCACACCUAAAACUUUCCACGUGAACCGUUUUAAUUAUGUUCUGUGCUUUGCUGCUGCUGAGCUGUUUCUUUCGGGAGACGGCAUGGCGGCGGUGAAGCUGAACGAAGGUUAGCUUAGUACGUCUGUGGCUUCGGCUGUAAGCGAAAAAGCUUUCCGAUGUUUUUCAAACCCAUUUACUAAAUACUGAUCUAUACUCCAAAGACGAAAGUUUUUGGUUUUAAUUCAUAACAACUUUCAGCAGUGGAUGUCUAGGCUCGCACAUCGAUGAAGAACGCUGCGAACUGCGAUACGUAAUGCGAAUUGCAGAAUUCAGUGAGUCAUCGAAAUUUUGAACGCAUAUUGCACUUUCGGGUUAUGCCUGGAAGUAUGCCUGUAUCAGUGUCCGUACAACAAACUUGCCUUUCUUUUUCUGUGUAGUCAGGGAUUGAGAUGGCAGAAUGUGAGGUGUCUCGAACUGUCCAAUUUUAAUUGCGAUGGGGCGAGUCCCUUUAAAUGUACGUUCGCUCUCUCUUGUGUUUAAGUAGAAGUGUGAUGCUCGAACGCGGUAAUCUAUUUGGAUUGCUUUGCGCUGGUGGGCGACUUCGGAAGAAACAUUAAGGGGACAACCUCUAUUGGCGGUAUGUUAGGCUUCGGCCCGACGUUGCAGCUGACGGAGUGGUGUUUCCGUUUCUUCCUUGAGGUGUACCUAUCGUGUGAGGCUUGAUCUGAUGUGGGAGCUGUGUAGUAGAGUAUUACUGCUCUUAGACGCCUGUUUUCGGACAGGUAAAGGAGGCAACACCAAUUUGGGAACGACUAUAUGCCUUUUGGCGUGUGGUUCACUUUUCACUUUGGACCUGAUAUCAGGCAAGAUUACCGCUGAACUUAAG